rnacentral:tRNA from 1 species
GGGGUGUAUACUCCUUUGCUUCUAACAAAGAUCUUCAGAUGAUUCUGGUACCCUUCC